GCGCUGCCAGUGCCUGCAGACCCUGCAGGGCAUUCACCUCAAGAACAUCCAGAGUGUCAAGGUGACGCCGUCGGGACCCCACUGCGCCCAGACCGAAGUCAUAGCCACUCUCAAGAAUGGGCAGGAAGCCUGUCUCAACCCCGAAGCCCCCAUGGUCAAGAAAAUCAUCCAUAAGAUGCUGAGCAAGGGCAACACCAACUGACCUGGAGCCAAGUAAGAAACUUGCUGGUGGUGGUCCCUGAAAGGCCCUUCUAGGAACUGAAAAUGAAGAGAGAGCAGCUGGCUACUAAGGCCUUACUGUGUUCGACUGUUACGAGUUCUCUAUUUAUUUAUGUUUGUAUUUAUUUAUUUUCCAAAGCUUAUAUUUUAAUAUUUUACAUAUUAGUAUUUAAAGAUCAGAAUUAUUUAAUCAAACAUAACUCCGUCCUGAUUAUUAUUUAAUUUGAAGAUGAUGGAUUUUAAAUGUCUCAUUAAACCAGUAUGUCCCGGCAAGGGCGGGGGGUGGGGGGGGGGGGAAGAAGGGAGUCGAAGCAGUUAGUGUGCACAUAUCUAUUUUUGUACUUGUUUAAAAGAAUGGCAGGUGUCAUUUAUUGAAAUUAUUUCACAUUAUGUGGUCAACAUUUUUAUGUUGAAGCUUCCCUUGGACAUUUUAUGUCUUGUGUGUAGGGCAUAAUGCCUUGUUUAAUGUUUAUUAUGCAGUGUGGCUCUGUCUUGGAACAGAGAUGUUAAAACUACUGUUAUGUUUUUAUAAAUGACAUGAAAAUAAAUGAUUUGCAAAAAAUAA